AUUGCUUCAACUAAGGUUUCCCAGUUCAGAUGGGGAAGGAAGAGUGCAUCUUGUUCACAUCUAUGGCCCGAAAAUAAAAUAUGAAAGGGGUGCAGCUGUUGCUUUCAAUGUUAGAGAUAGAAAUCGGGGGCUGAUGAAUCCAGAAGUUGUUCAGAAGCUUGCUGAAAGAGAAGGUAUCUCUCUUGGCAUUGGUUUUCUUAGUCACAUAAGGAUAUUGGAUAGCCCAAAACAGCAGCGUGGUAAUUUGAACCUUGAAGAUACCACUCUAUGUAGGCCAAUGGAAAAUGGGCAACACAAUGGAAAAAGUGGGUUCAUAAGGAUUGAGGUGGUCACUGCAUCUCUGGGAUUUCUCACCAACUUCGAGGACGUUUACAAAUUAUGGGGUUUUGUUUCCAAGUUUCUUAAUCCAGCCUUUAUCAAAGAGGGUAGUCUUCCAACAGUUGAA
rnacentral:misc_RNA from 1 species